UUCAGUUAUAUGGAGAAAUUUCCCCCAAACAAGUGACAAAGAAGACUCCAAAACAGGAUAGAGGGUUUCAGCCUAAACACUCCAAAACAGUUGCAAUUGACAAUUCCACAUCACAUUCACAGUACCAUCAUAUGAUUAAACAUGCAAAAUACAUCAAUUUUGUUUCUGUUUUUUACUCAAUACAUCAAUUUUGCUAAAUUAUCAAAUGAACAACAUCAUAUUGGUGAAUCAACCCAGCAAGUUCAAAUUUUACAACUUUAUAAUCACCAUCAUCAUCAUGAUAAGAUUAUACCCAGUUUUUCUUUAUCAUUGAAAAAUAAAAUAAAAG
rnacentral:lncRNA from 1 species